GCCUUCGUGGUGUAGUGGUCAGCACGCUCGAUGCGUAACCGAGAGGUCCGUGGUUCGAUUCCCGGCGAAGGCG
rfam:Stegodyphus mimosarum contig93493, whole genome shotgun sequence.